rnacentral:tRNA from 1 species
GCUCCAGUGGCGCAAUCGGUCAGCGCCCGGUACUUAUAAUGCCGAGGUUGUGAGUUCGAGCCUCACCUGGAGCA